rnacentral:rRNA from 1 species
AGAGUUUGAUUCUGGCUCAGAACGAACGCUGGCGGCAGGCCUAACACAUGCAAGUCGAACGACAUAGUGGCAGACGGGUGAGUAACGCGUGGGAACGUGCCUUUCACUACGGAAUAGCUCUUGGAAACGAGUGGUAAUACCGUAUACGCCCUCCGGGGGAAAGAUUUAUCGGUGAAAGAUCGGCCCGCGUUAGAUUAGCUUGUUGGUGAGGUAAUGGCUCACCAAGGCGACGAUCUAUAGCUGGUCUGAGAGGAUGAUCAGCCACACUGGGACUGAGACACGGCCCAGACUCCUACGGGAGGCAGCAGUGGGGAAUCUUGCACAAUGGGCGAAAGCCUGAUGCAGCCAUGCCGCGUGAAUGAUGAAGGCCCUAGGGUUGUAAAAUUCUUUCGCCAGGGAUGAUAAUGACAGUACCUGGUAAAGAAGCACCGGCUAACUUCGUGCCAGCAGCCGCGGUAAUACGAAGGGUGCUAGCGUUGUUCGGAAUUACUGGGCGUAAAGCGCGCGUAGGCGGACUUUUAAGUCAGAUGUGAAAUCCCGGAGCUCAACUCCGGAACUGCAUUUGAAACUGGAAGUCUAGAGAUCAGGAGAGGUUGGCGGAAUACCGAGUGUAGAGGUGAAAUUCGUAGAUAUUCGGUGGAACACCAGUGGCGAAGGCGGCCAACUGGACUGAUACUGACGCUGAGGUGCGAAAGUGUGGGGAGCAAACAGGAUUAGAUACCCUGGUAGUCCACACCGUAAACGAUGAUUGCUAGUUGUCGGCAGAUUUAUCUGUCGGUGACGCAGCUAACGCAUUAAGCAAUCCGCCUGGGGAGUACGGCCGCAAGGUUAAAACUCAAAGAAAUUGACGGGGGCCCGCACAAGCGGUGGAGCAUGUGGUUUAAUUCGAAGCAACGCGCAGAACCUUACCUACUCUUGACAUCCCGAUCGCGGUUAGUGGAGACACUAUCCUUCAGUUAGGCUGGAUCGGUGACAGGUGCUGCAUGGCUGUCGUCAGCUCGUGUCGUGAGAUGUUGGGUUAAGUCCCGCAACGAGCGCAACCCUCAUCCUUAGUUGCCAUCAGGUUUGGCUGGGCACUCUAAGGAAACUGCCGGUGGCAAGCCGGAGGAAGGUGGGGAUGACGUCAAGUCCUCAUGGCCCUUACGAGUAGGGCUACACACGUGCUACAAUGGCAGUGACAAUGGGAUAAUCCCCAAAAACUGUCUCAGUUCGGAUUGUCGUCUGCAACUCGACGGCAUGAAGGUGGAAUCGCUAGUAAUCGUGGAUCAGCAUGCCACGGUGAAUACGUUCCCGGGCCUUGUACACACCGCCCGUCACAUCAUGGGAAUUGGUUCUACCCGAAGACUGUGUGCUAACUUCGGAGGCAGCAGGCCACGGUAGGAUCAGUGACUGGGAUGAAGUCGUAACAAGGUAGCCGUAGGGGAACCUGCGGCUGGAUCACCU